UAAAAAAAAUAAAAAAAUAAAAGAGUUUGAUCCUGGCUCAGAAUGAACGUUAAUGGUUAACUUAACACAUGCAAGUUAAAGAUAUUUUAAACUUUGAAAAUAUUUAACGAACGGGUGAGUAAUAUAUAGAAAUCUACCUUAAAAUUUUGUUAAAUGCAUAAAAUUGAUUUGUUUUAAGAAAAGUCUAUAUAGGAUUAAGUUAGUUGGUAAUUUAAAAGAUUACCAAGCUUAUGAUCCUUAGUUGGUCUGUGAGGAUGAACAACCACAUUGGAACUGAGAAACGGUCCAAACUUCAAAUUGAAGGCAGCAGUGAGGAAUAUUGGGCAAUGAGUGAAAGCUUGACCCAGUUAAACUAUAUGUGUGAUGAAGGUAAAAAAUUGUAAAGCACUAAAAUUAAUUAUAAAUAAUGAUUUUUUUAAUAAUAAUCCUGGCUAAUUUCGUGCCAGCAGCCGCGGUAAAACGAGAAGGGUUAACGUUAUUCGGAUUUAUUGGGCGUAAAGGAUAUGUAGGUGGAAAAUUAAAUUCUUAUAUAAAACUUAUAUUUUAAUUUUAAGUAAAUAUUUAAAAUUUUUUUCUAGAGUUUAAUAAAAGAUUAUGGAACUUUAAAUGUAACAGUAAAAUGUUUUGAUAUUUAAAAGAACAUCAAAAGCGUAGGCAAUAAUCUGGAUUAAAACUGACAUUGAGGUAUUAAAGUGUGGGUAGCGAAAGGGAUUAGAUACCCCUGUAGUCCACACCCUGAACUAUGAGUGUUUAUUUUUGGAUAUAUUUCAGAAAUGUAGUUAACACGUUAAACACUCCGCCUGGGAACUAUGAUUGCAAAAUUAAAACUCAAAGGAAUUGACGGGAACCUACACAAGCAGUGGAGCAUGUGGUUUAAAUCGACAAUACGCGAAAAACCUUACCAACUUUUGAAUAAUUUUUAUAAUUACAGGUGUUGCAUGGCUGUCGUCAGUCCGUGCUGUGAAGCGUUUGGUUUAUUCCAGAAAACGGACAAAACUCUUGUAUAUUUUUUAAUAUAAAUCGCUAAAGAUAUUUUAGAAGAAGAUGAGAAUGAUGUCAAGUCCUCAUGACCCUUAUGAGUUGGGCUACUUUCAUGUGCUACAAUAGUUUUUUCAAUAAGAAGCAAUCAUGUAAGUUUUAGCAAAUCUUUAAAUAAAACUAUAUUCGGAUUAUUUUCUGAAACUCGAAAAUAUGAAGUUGGAAUUGCUAGUAAUCGUAAAUUAGAAUGUUACGGUGAAUAAGUUCUUAGGUUUUGUACACACCGCCCGUCACGCUAUGGAAAUUCGUAUUAUUUGAAAAUUAUAUUAAAUUAAUUUAUAGUAAUAGAAAAACUGAAGUGAAGUCGUAACAAGGUAGCCGUAGGGGAACCUGUGGCUGGAAAAUAAAUAAAUAAAAUCUACUAUCCU
rnacentral:rRNA from 1 species